ACACUAUCAUUAACUGAAUCCAUAGGUUAAUGAGGCGAACCGGGGGAACUGAAACAUCUAAGUACCCCGAGGAAAAGAAAUCAACCGAGAUUCCCCCAGUAGCGGCGAGCGAACGGGGAGGAGCCCAGAGCCUGAAUCAGCAUGUGUGUUAGUGGAAGCGUCUGGAAAGGCGCGCGAUACAGGGUGACAGCCCCGUACACAAAAGCGCAUGUGCUGUGAGCUCGAUGAGUAGGGCGGGACACGUGGUAUCCUGUCUGAAUAUGGGGGGACCAUCCUCCAAGGCUAAAUACUCCUGACUGACCGAUAGUGAACCAGUACCGUGAGGGAAAGGCGAAAAGAACCCCGGCGAGGGGAGUGAAAAAGAACCUGAAACCGUGUACGUACAAGCAGUGGGAGCACAGGUUUACCUGUGUGACUGCGUACCUUUUGUAUAAUGGGUCAGCGACUUAUAUUCUGUAGCAAGGUUAACCGAAUAGGGGAGCCGGAGGGAAACCGAGUCUUAAUUGGGCGUUAAGUUGCAGGGUAUAGACCCGAAACCCGGUGAUCUAGCCAUGGGCAGGUUGAAGGUUGGGUAACACUAACUGGAGGACCGAACCGACUAAUGUUGAAAAAUUAGCGGAUGACCUGUGGCUGGGGGUGAAAGGCCAAUCAAACCGGGAGAUAGCUGGUUCUCCCCGAAAGCUAUUUAGGUAGCGCCUCGUGAAUUCAUCUCCGGGGGUAGAGCACUGUUUCGGCUAGGGGGCCAUCCCGGCUUACCAACCCGAUGCAAACUGCGAAUACCGGAGAAUGUUAUCACGGGAGACACACGGCGGGUGCUAACGUCCGUCGUGAAGAGGGAAACAACCCAGACCGCCAGCUAAGGUCCCAAAGUCAUGGUUAAGUGGGAAACGAUGUGGGAAGGCCCAGACAGCCAGGAUGUUGGCUUAGAAGCAGCCAUCAUUUAAAGAAAGCGUAAUAGCUCACUGGUCGAGUCGGCCUGCGCGGAAGAUGUAACGGGGCUAAACCAUGCACCGAAGCUGCGGCAGCGACACUGUGUGUUGUUGGGUAGGGGAGCGUUCUGUAAGCCUGCGAAGGUGGCCUGUGAGGGUUGCUGGAGGUAUCAGAAGUGCGAAUGCUGACAUAAGUAACGAUAAAGCGGGUGAAAAGCCCGCUCGCCGGAAGACCAAGGGUUCCUGUCCAACGUUAAUCGGGGCAGGGUGAGUCGACCCCUAAGGCGAGGCCGAAAGGCGUAGUCGAUGGGAAACGGGUUAAUAUUCCCGUACUUGGUGUUACUGCGAAGGGGGGACGGAGAAGGCUAUGUUGGCCGGGCGACGGUUGUCCCGGUUUAAGCGUGUAGGUGUGUGUUCCAGGUAAAUCCGGUUCACUUUAACACUGAGGCGUGACGACGAGGCACUACGGUGCUGAAGCAACAAAUGCCCUGCUUCCAGGAAAAGCCUCUAAGCAUCAGGUAACAUCAAAUCGUACCCCAAACCGACACAGGUGGUCAGGUAGAGAAUACCAAGGCGCUUGAGAGAACUCGGGUGAAGGAACUAGGCAAAAUGGUGCCGUAACUUCGGGAGAAGGCACGCUGACACGUAGGUGAAGUGAUUUACUCAUGGAGCUGAAGUCAGUCGAAGAUACCAGCUGGCUGCAACUGUUUAUUAAAAACACAGCACUGUGCAAACACGAAAGUGGACGUAUACGGUGUGACGCCUGCCCGGUGCCGGAAGGUUAAUUGAUGGGGUCAGCGCAAGCGAAGCUCCUGAUCGAAGCCCCGGUAAACGGCGGCCGUAACUAUAACGGUCCUAAGGUAGCGAAAUUCCUUGUCGGGUAAGUUCCGACCUGCACGAAUGGCGUAAUGAUGGCCAGGCUGUCUCCACCCGAGACUCAGUGAAAUUGAACUCGCUGUGAAGAUGCAGUGUACCCGCGGCAAGACGGAAAGACCCCGUGAACCUUUACUAUAGCUUGACACUGAACAUUGAGCCUUGAUGUGUAGGAUAGGUGGGAGGCUUUGAAGUGUGGACGCCAGUCUGCAUGGAGCCGACCUUGAAAUACCACCCUUUAAUGUUUGAUGUUCUAACGUGGACCCGUUACCCGGGUUGCGGACAGUGUCUGGUGGGUAGUUUGACUGGGGCGGUCUCCUCCUAAAGAGUAACGGAGGAGCACGAAGGUUGGCUAAUCCUGGUCGGACAUCAGGAGGUUAGUGCAAUGGCAUAAGCCAGCUUGACUGCGAGCGUGACGGCGCGAGCAGGUGCGAAAGCAGGUCAUAGUGAUCCGGUGGUUCUGAAUGGAAGGGCCAUCGCUCAACGGAUAAAAGGUACUCCGGGGAUAACAGGCUGAUACCGCCCAAGAGUUCAUAUCGACGGCGGUGUUUGGCACCUCGAUGUCGGCUCAUCACAUCCUGGGGCUGAAGUAGGUCCCAAGGGUAUGGCUGUUCGCCAUUUAAAGUGGUACGCGAGCUGGGUUUAGAACGUCGUGAGACAGUUCGGUCCCUAUCUGCCGUGGGCGCUGGAGAACUGAGGGGGGCUGCUCCUAGUACGAGAGGACCGGAGUGGACGCAUCACUGGUGUUCGGGUUGUCAUGCCAAUGGCACUGCCCGGUAGCUAAAUGCGGAAGAGAUAAGUGCUGAAAGCAUCUAAGCACGAAACUUGCCCCGAG
rnacentral:rRNA from 1 species